rnacentral:rRNA from 1 species
AGUGAACGCUGGCGGUAGGCCUAACACAUGCAAGUCGAACGGCAGCACAGUAAGAGCUUGCUCUUACGGGUGGCGAGUGGCGGACGGGUGAGGAAUACAUCGGAAUCUACUUUUUCGUGGGGGAUAACGUAGGGAAACUUACGCUAAUACCGCAUACGACCUACGGGUGAAAGCAGGGGAUCUUCGGACCUUGCGCGAUUGAAUGAGCCGAUGUCGGAUUAGCUAGUUGGCGGGGUAAAGGCCCACCAAGGCGACGAUCCGUAGCUGGUCUGAGAGGAUGAUCAGCCACACUGGAACUGAGACACGGUCCAGACUCCUACGGGAGGCAGCAGUGGGGAAUAUUGGACAAGGGGCGCAAGCCUGAUCCAGCCAGACCGCGUGGGUGAAGAAGGCCUUCGGGUGGUAAAGCCCUUUUGUUGGGAAAGAAAAGAAGCAGGUUAAUACCCCGCUGUUCUGACGGUACCCAAAGAAUAAACACCGGCUAACUUCGU